rnacentral:rRNA from 1 species
UACGUAGGGCGCAAGCGUUGUCCGGAAUUAUUGGGCGUAAAGAGCUCGUAGGCGGUUCCGUAAGUCAGAUGUGAAAACUCAGGGCUCAACCCGGAGACGCCAUCUGAUACUGCGGUGACUGGAGUCUGGUAGGGGAACACGGAAUUCCUGGUGUAGCGGUGAAAUGCGCAGAUAUCAGGAGGAACACCGAUGGCGAAGGCAGUGUUCUGGGCCAGUACUGACGCUGAGGAGCGAAAGCGUGGGGAGCAAACAGG